rnacentral:rRNA from 1 species
AUUGAACGCUGGCGGCAGGCCUAACACAUGCAAGUCGAGCGGAUGAAGGGAGCUUGCUCCUGGCUUCAGCGGCGGACGGGAGAGUAAUGCCUAGAAAUCUGCCUGGUAGUGGGGGAUAACGUCCGGAAACGGGCGCUAAUACCGCAUACGCCCUGAGGGAGAAAGGGGGGGAUCUUCGGACCUCACGCUAUCAGAUGAGCCUAGGUCGGAUUAGCUAGUUGGUGGGGUAAAGGCCUACCAAGGCGACGAUCCGUAACUGGUCUGAGAGGAUGAUCAGCCACACUGGAACUGAGACACGGUCCAGACUCCUACGGGAGGCAGCAGUGGGGAAUAUUGGACAAUGGGCGAAAGCCUGAUCCAGCCAUGCCGCGUGUGUGAAGAAGGUCUUCGGAUUGUAAAGCACUUUUAUUUGGGAGGAAGGGCAGUAAGUUAAUACCUUGCUGUUUUGACGUUACCAGCAGAAUAAGCACCGGCUAACUUCGUG